GACGAACGCUGGCGGCGUGCUUAACACAUGCAAGUCGAACGGAAAUGCCCUGCUUUUGUGGGGUGCUCGAGUGGCGAACGGGUGAGUAACACGUGAGUAACCUGCCCUUGACUUUGGGAUAACUUCAGGAAACUGGGGCUAAUACCGGAUAGGAGCUCCUGCUGCAUGGUGGGGGUUGGAAAGUUUCGGCGGUUGGGGAUGGACUCGCGGCUUAUCAGCUUGUUGGUGGGGUAGUGGCUUACCAAGGCUUUGACGGGUAGCCGGCCUGAGAGGGUGACCGGCCACAUUGGGACUGAGAUACGGCCCAGACUGCUACGGGAGGCAGCAGUGGGGAAUAGUGCACAAUGGGCGGAAGCCUGAUGCAGCAACGCCGCGUGCGGGAUGACGGCCUUCGGGUUGUAAACCGCUUUCGCCUGUGACAAAGCGUGAGUGACGGUAAUGGGUAAAGAAGCACCGGCUAACUACGUG
rnacentral:rRNA from 1 species